rnacentral:rRNA from 1 species
GACGAACGCUGGCGGCGUGCCUAAUACAUGCAAGUCGAGCGAAUGACGAGAAGCUUGCUUCUCUGAUUUAGCGGCGGACGGGUGAGUAACACGUGGGCAACCUGCCCUACAGAUCGGGAUAACUCAGGGAAACCUGGGCUAAUACCGGAUAAUCCUUCGAAUCACAUGUUUUGAAGUUGAAAGGCGCUUCGGCGUCACUGUAGGAUGGGCCCGCGGUGCAUUAGCUAGUUGGUGGGGUAACGGCCUACCAAGGCAACGAUGCAUAGCCGACCUGAGAGGGUGAUCGGCCACAUUGGGACUGAGACACGGGCCAAACUCCUACGGGAGGCAGCAGUAGGGAAUCUUCCACAAUGGACGAAAGUCUGAUGGAGCAACGCCUCGGGAGUGAUGAAGGUUUGCGGAUCGUAAAACUCUGUUGUAAGGGAAGAACAAGUACGUUAGGAAAUGAACGUACCUUGACGGUACCUUAUUAGAAAGCCACGGCUAACUACGUGCCAGCCGCCGCGGUAA